rnacentral:rRNA from 14 species
AGCUGACCGAUAGUGAACUAGUACCGUGAGGGAAAGAUGAAAAGUACCCCGAUGAGGGGAGUGAAACAGUACCUGAAACCGAAUGCUUACAAGCAGUUGGAGCCCCAUAGGGGGUGACAGCGUACCUCUUGCAUAAUGGGUCAGUGACUUAAUCUAGCAUGCGAGCUUAAGCCGUUAGGUGUAGGCGAAGCGAAAGCGAGUCUGAAUAGGGCGUUUUAGUUAGUAGUGGUAGACGCGAAACCGUGUGAUCU